CCCUUAGAUGUUCUGGGCUGCACACGUGCUACACUGGCAGGUUCAGCGAGCUUCAUGCCCUGAUCUGAAAGGAAUGGGAAAUCUUUUCAAAACCUGCCGUGCUUGGGAUAGAUGUUUGCAAUUAUUCAUCUUCAACGAGGAUUGCCUUGUAAGCGCACGUCAUCAGCGUGCAUUGAAUACGACCCUGUAUUCUGUACACACCGCCCGUCGCUCCUACCGAUUGAAGUUUUCGGUGAGUUGACAGGAGGAUUUUUUUGAAACUGGUUCGCCAGUGGAUUUUAGAUCCAAAUGCCAACGAAUCGAUGGCUUUAGAGGAAGGAGAAGUCGUAAC
rnacentral:rRNA from 1 species